CGGGACGUAGCACAGUUUGGUAGCGUAUUUGCAUGGGAUGCAAUAGUCGCUGAUUUAAAUUAUGUCGUCCCGA
rnacentral:tRNA from 1 species